rnacentral:rRNA from 1 species
AGCAGCCGCGGUAAUUCCAGCUCCAAUAGCGUAUAUUAAAGUUGUUGCAGUUAAAAAGCUCGUAGUUGAAUUUCGGGAUCAGUACGCUGGUCGUGCCUUUGGUAUGUACUGGUGUCACUGAUUCCUCCCUUCUGAAGAACCGUUAUGCCAUUUAUUUGGUGUUGCGGGGAAUUUGGACUGUUACUUUGAAAAAAUUAGAGUGUUUAAAGCAGGCUCACGCUUGAAUACAUUAGCAUGGAAUAAUGAAAUAGGACGUUUGAUUCUAUUUUGUUGGUUUCUAGGAUCGACGUAAUGAUUAAUAGGGAUAGUUGGGGGCAUUAGUAUUCAAUUGUCAGAGGUGAAAUUCUUGGAUUUAUUGAAGACUAACUACUGCGAAAGCAUUUGCCAAGGAUGUUUUCAUUAAUCAAGAACGAAAGUUAGGGGAUCGAAGACGAUCAGAUACCGUCGUAGUCUUAACCAUAAACUAUGCCGACUAGGGAUCGGAUGAUGUUAAUUUUUAAUGACUCAUUCGGCGCCUUAA